rnacentral:rRNA from 1 species
AGAACGAACGCUGGCGGCAUGCCUAAUACAUGCAAGUCGAACGAACUCUUCGGAGUUAGUGGCGCACGGGUGCGUAACGCGUGGGAAUCUGCCCCUUGGUUCGGAAUAACAGUUGGAAACGACUGCUAAUACCGGAUGAUGACGAAAGUCCAAAGAUUUAUCGCCAAGGGAUGAGCCCGCGUAGGAUUAGCUAGUUGGUGAGGUAAAGGCUCACCAAGGCAACGAUCCUUAGCUGGUCUGAGAGGAUGAUCAGCCACACUGGGACUGAGACACGGCCCAGACCUCCGACGGGAGCAGCAGUAGGGAACUAG